CACGUAGGGCGCAAGCGUUGUCCGGAAUCACUGGGCGUAAAGGGUGCGUAGGCGGGCCUUUAAGUCUGGGGUGAAAUCCUGGAGCUCAACUCCAGAACUGCCUUUGAUACUGAGGAUCUUGAGUUCGGGAGAGGUGAGUGGAACUGCGAGUGUAGAGGUGAAAUUCGUAGAUAUUCGCAAGAACACCAGUGGCGAAGGCGGCUCACUGGCCCGAUACUGACGCUGAGGCACGAAAGCGUGGGGAGCAAACAGG
rnacentral:rRNA from 1 species